UGUGGAUAGGACAGAUUUAACCUCAAAAGGAGGUUAAAUGUUAAUUUAGCCUUGUUUACCGCUACUGUGAUACUGCUGGAGUGCAGCUAAGUGAAAAAUGACUUGCUUCUAGGUUAUGCCUUUUUUCACAGGAGCAAUAACUCAGCUGAUAUAGGUGUCAUCGCACUAAUUGCAGAGAGCGCCCCGUUGAGCUACAGCUUCGGGAGAUGCAGUGACCCCGUGUAACAGGUUGAUGGUGCAUUGAGCUGAAGUGGCCUGGGGAGAGCACGGUGUGCUUGCUCAUGAGAACCACAUGCAGGGCUAAAAGUCCUCUUCCUGGCAGGUCUGAGUCACUGGCAUGAGCCAGGCAGCUGUAGGAGUUGGAGGGCAGAAACAGCUGACGACUGGAUCUCAGUUGGAAACAGCAACUUGCAGUAGGGAGAAGUAAGACAGGUGAGGUCACAGAUAGUUCCUGGGUGACUGAAGGCUUCACAGAUAAAAAGAACAGCACUUUGCACUGACUCCAAGAGUAGAUUGAGAAGAGGCGGAUGUUCUGGAGCACGUGUGCAAUAUGUACUGUUUUGAGCAGGGGAACUGGACAAGACAAUCUCUAGAGGUCCCCUCCAACUUCAGCUACUCUGUGAUUCUGAACUAGGAAGAAGGUUUAAGAAGUGUCUGCAACAUUUGUGAUUGGGAAUUUCAUUUUCAUUAUACUCCACCUUUCCGGUAAUGAGCACAUUGGUAACUAAUGAUUUUCUCCCACCUCCAACAUUUCCUAUCCCUGUCGCUGUCUGGAUACUCAGAUCAGAUAAAAAGCCAAAUCAAGGCCCCAUGAUUUCACAUUGAAUAGAGGAGUUGAAUUGAAUUCUGGAGUCUGUAUUUCGGCUGACUGGUGAAACUCUGUACAAGGUACAAAGAUAAUACACAGCAAGACGUGCCAUAAACUUUUUUGCUAGCUUGUGUGUCCCCUGCAAGAACUGAGGCGUCUACAGUGUAUGUUUCAGAAAAUCUGACUGGGAAAGCUUGAAGAAAUCCAUAGGAAGACUUGAUUGUUGCCACUUUGCACCCUGUGCUUUGAACAAUGCAUUUUCCCUAAUGGGGUAU